GGUAUCCUCAGGUUUGUUCCUUGGACCCCCCAGCCAUUCCGGACGAGAACGUGGACAGGGACCCUUCCCGUAAACCUGUUCCGUAGGUGAACCUGCGGAAGGAUCUUCAGUAAUUGAUUCCGUAGGUGAACCUGCGGAGGGGGGGUUCCAGAGAACAGCGCCCUCACGGGUGACUCUCCGCCCUAUGUUAUUAAAACCUUUGUUGCUUUGGCGAGCCCCUUCGGCCACCGGCUCUUGGUGGUGCGCGCUCCCCCAAGGACCACAAAUUCUGGUUAUUAAUGUCCUCCGAAUACUAAAUAAUAAUUAAAACUUUCUACAACGGAUCUCUUGGGUCUGGCAUCUAGGAAAAACGCACCGAAAUGCGAUAAAUAAAGUGAAUUGCAGAAUUCAAUGAAUCAUCUAAUCUUUGAACGCACAUUGUGCCCCGCGGGAUUCCCCGGGGGAUGCCUGUUCGAGCGUCACUACAACACUCAAGCUCUGCUUGGUAUUGGACCCCAUCAAUUCUGAUCGGUCUUAAAAUCACUGGCGGUGCCAUCGUGCUCUAAACGUAAUAAUACUCCUCGCUACAGGGUCUCGGUGCGUGCUUGCCACCAACCCCCAACUUUCUAAGUUUGACCUCGGAUCAGGUAGGGAUACCCGCUGAACUUAAACAUAUCAAUAAGCGGAGGAAAA
rnacentral:rRNA from 1 species